AAUCUUUCGCAAUGGGCGAAAGCCUGACGCAGCCAUGCCGCGUGAAUGAUGAAUGUCUUAGGAUUGUAACAUUCUUUCACCGGGGACGAUAAUGACGGUACCGGAGAAGAAGCCCCGGCUAACUUCGUGCCAGCAGCUGCGGUAUUACGAAGGCGGCUAGCGUUGCUCGGAAUUACUGGGCGUAAAGGGCGCGUAGGCGUAUCGUUAUGUCAGGGGUGAAAUCCCGGGGCUCAACCUCGGAACUGCCAUUGAUACUGGCGAUCUUGAGUAUGAGAGAGGUAUGUGGAACUCCGAGUGUAGAGGUGAAAUUCGUAGAUAUUCGGAAGAACACCAGUGGCGAAGGCGACAUACUGGCUCAUUACUGACGCUGAGGCGCGAAAGCGUGGGGAGCAAACA
rnacentral:rRNA from 1 species